CACCCGGCGCCUCACGCACCAGGCGCGGGAUAUAUCCCUCCGCUCGCAGCCACGCCCGCUCGCGCCGGCGCUCUUUUCUCCCGCGCGGAAAGUCGACCCGACUUUCCCCGGCAGCCGGACUCCCAGUCCGCGGGGUCCGGGCUAUGACGCCCCGCCAAGGGUCAGGGAUCUCCCAGCAGCUACAGCAGCCAACUCCUUUCCAGGAGACCAGCGAGUGCCCAGGAUGACCUAGCGACACCGCGAGGAACAGAUUGGGGCCCACUCUAGUGCCGAGGUUAGUUAUGGCCAGCACACAGAUUUGUGCAGGUCUGCAAUUGCUUGGUGGAAUAAAAUCUUCCAAAAGGUCUCAAAAGGAAUGCAGUUAGAUCGGAACCUACUUCCUUUUUCAAUCUACACUAAAAUCCCGAGAAAGUGAAAACGCUUCCUUCGCGACCUCUUUGCGCAGAGCUGGUUACACCCCGGAACCUCCCCAGCCGUGGUUACGAACCCCAACUCCCGCCUCCGCCAGCGGACACCCCGGACUCCCAGGUCUGCGGGACAAAAGGCAGCGGUGCCGUCUCGAGCGCUUUCCCACGCGGUCCACUGAAAACCUCAUUGCCUGAAAGAAGUUGCACUUCGUCGCCAGAGGAACAGCCGAGAGCCAGAGAUGGAGAUUUCAGAGUCCGGUGCUGCCACGUUUUUACUGAUCCUUUAGCCCCAACGGAACGAAACAGAGGUGCCUUUUUGCUACCAGCUAAUUACCUUCACAUGAACAAGAAAUGUAGUACAAGCUCCACGUUUGUCCUCUCAAUAGUCGAUCCUCGCUAACCCACUACCCAAAGGCUGUAGAAAAUGAGGGGGAUGGGUUCCCGAAAACAAAAAAACCUUUCCGCCAGCACUGCCUCUGCAAGUCCACCCAAGCUGGUAUUUGUAUAUUAGAUAUAGAAUGGGGCGGAGUGGGUGGUAAGUGAAGGCUAGGGUGACGGCGACGGACCUCACGUCCACGUCCCAAGAGCGCCCGGCAGGUCCAAGUCCGCGGUCCGUGCGGAACCCCGCAGGGAGCGCGCGCUUUGCCGGGUGUCCGGACUAGAGGGCGCUGCGCCACUGCAGAUCACGCGGCACCCAAUGCGCCCUCCCUGGGCACCAUUUCUAUAAUAAGUUACAUUCGAAAUAAUGCACAAACAGCGUAGCUUUUCAAGUUCUUUUGAACAGUGCUUUGUAAGUAUUUUAUGAAUUCCAAAACCUAUGCGUACUGAUCUUUCAUUCCCGAGUCAAGCACAGCCAGGGCGGGUGUGCAGCUCGCCGAGCGGAAAGCCGGUAGGAUGCACACGCUUCCCUGUACUAGUCAAACACCCCACGCAAUUUCAUUAACGUUUAAACUUAAAUACGGAAAGACUUGCACUCAAGAAA